rnacentral:rRNA from 1 species
CCUACGGGCUGCAGCAGUGGGGAAUAUUGCACAAUGGGCGAAACCCUGAUGCAGCGACGCCGCGUGAGUGAAGAAGGAUUUCGGUAUGUAAAGCUCUAUCAGCAGGGAAGAAAGUGACGGUACCUGAUUCAGAAGCCACGGCUAACUACGUGCCAGCAUCCGCGGUCAUACGUCGGGCGCGAGCGUUAUGCGGCUUUACGGGGUUUAAAGGGAGCGUAGACGGCAGCACAAGUAUGGAGUGAAAUGCCCGGGCUUAACCCCGGAACUGCUUUGGAAACUGGGCAGCGAGAGUGCAGGAGAGGGAAGUGGAAUGCCGAGUGUAGCGGUGAAAUGCGUAGAUAUCAGGAGGAACACCAGUGGCGAAGGCGGCUUACUGGACUGUAACUGACGCUGAGGCGCGAAAGCGUGGGGAGCAAACAGGAUUAGAUACCCGAGUAGUC